rnacentral:rRNA from 1 species
UGGGGAAUCUUGCGCAAUGGGCGAAAGCCUGACGCAGCAACGCCGCGUGAGGGAAGAAGGCCUUCGGGUUGUAAACCUCUGUCAGGGGGAAAGAAGGCACCUGGGUUAAUAGCCCAAGGGCUGACGGUACCCCCAAAGGAAGCCACGGCUAACUACGUGCCAGCAGCCGCGGUAAUACGUAGGUGGCGAGCGUUGUCCGGAAUCAUUGGGCGUAAAGAGCGCGUAGGCGGCUUGUCAGGUCUGAUGUGAAACCCUGGGGCUCAACCCCAGGCGUGCAUCGGAAACCGGCUUGCUAGAGUCUGGGAGAGGGGAGUGGAAUUCCUGGUGUAGCGGUGAAAUGCGUAGAUAUCAGGAGGAACACCAGUUGCGAAGGCGGCUCCCUGGAACAGUACUGACGCUGAGGCGCGAAAGCUAGGGGAGCGAACAG